rnacentral:rRNA from 1 species
ACUCAAAGGAAUAGACGGGGGCCCGCACAAGCGGUGGAGCAUGUGGUUUAAUUCGACGCAACGCGAAGAACCUUACCUGGGUUAAAUCCACCGGAACCUGCCAGAGAUGGUGGGGUGCCCUUCGGGGAACCGGUGAGAAGGUGCUGCAUGGCUGUCGUCAGCUCGUGUCGUGAGAUGUUGGGUUAAGUCCCGCAACGAGCGCAACCCUUGUCGUCAGUUGCCAACGGUUAGGCCGGGCACUCAGACGAGACUGCCGACGUUAAGUCGGAGGAAGGUGGGGAUGACGUCAAGUCCUCAUGGCCCUUAUGCCCAGGGCUACACACGUGCUACAAUGGCCGGUACAAAGGGCUGCAAGCGCGCGAGCGUGAGCCAAUCCCAAAAAACCGGUCUCAGUUCGGAUUGGAGUCUGCAACUCGACUCCAUGAAGUUGGAAUCGCUAGUAAUCGCGGAUCAGCACGCCGCGGUGAAUACGUUCCCGGGCCUUGUACACACCGCCCGU